CCGUCAGCUGUUACCGGGCAGUUCAUUUUGGCUCAGUCUGAGGAGAGGUGUCUUAUGAUGCACGUGACGUCUUCGUUUUUAUAUUUUUCUUCUGGGAUGAAUAGCUAUUGCCCGGUUGUAAAAUUAUCGCAAUUUUACGUUAAAAAAUACCCUAAAGGAUUGAUUGUAAACAUCGUUUGACGUGUUUCUACAAACGGUAAUGGAACUUUGAACAUUUCGUCUAUGGAUUUGCAUCCACGCCACAUGGCAUUGUAAAGUGUUCUGGAUGGGUCAACAAAACGGACGUAUUUGGACAUAAAUGAUGGACUUUGCAGAACAAAUGAACAUUUCUUGUGGAAGUGGGUGCCCAUCCGAGUGCAUUCCGCCGAAGAUCAGCAAAGAUCACUGGGGUCAGGGCCUGUUCCCAAGGGAGCCGUACAUCCUCCGCCUCGGGCUCGUCAGAGUCAUGAAAGAAGAAAAAGGGUUCUGCUAGUCCGUGUCCCAGGAGACCAGCAUACAUGCACAUCCCCUGAGGGGAGAGAGAGCCCUGCUCGGCUGAGUGUCCUUCCUAACACUAAGUCAGAGAGCUUGAUCCUCCCUGGACUGUUGUGAAUUCCAGAACCAGG
rnacentral:lncRNA from 1 species